rnacentral:rRNA from 1 species
AUGAGAAAUUCUGAUGAUCCUGAUGUGGGUAAUUUGAUGAGUGGAGCUGAGUUUGUGCAACAACAGCGUUUACUCUCAGCAUUGUUGGCCCAACUUACUCAAGGAAACGUUCCAGUGGGAGGACGUAAUGUCAAUUUGCAAAGUGGGGUCAAUCUGCUACACCAAAACACAGGAAAAGAGAUGGUCAGAGGAGAAAGCACUUGUCUGCAAGGAGAGGGAAAACAGAGACAACAAUGGGGUCAUAGACCUGAAAAAACCUCUGACAAUGAGGGGGCAUGGAAGGAGGAUAGCCAAAGGGAGAGAGUUAGGAGGAGGAGCACAAAUGAAAGAUGGUAG